AGUGGUGCCCCCUACAUUUAGGCCCCGCCUAGAUGUCCAUUUUCCAGAACCAUUUUAGAUUUGUAAAGUACUAGAAGGUUUUGGAGUCUUCAUAGAAAUUGUAUGAUCCUCCAGUCUUCUUUUUUUUUUUGUUAGUGGGCUACUGUUUAAUCUUGUCCAUUGAUGGAAUGUGAGCUAUGUAGUUUGUACCAUAUGCUACUUUGUGUGUAGUAUCUACUACAUGUGACUUAAAGCUAUUUUAAUGAGCUACGUAGGUUGAAGGUAGUGUAAGCUAUUUAAGAUACUGGCUGAAACUUCUCAUCUGGCCUACUUUUUUGUUUCUUCUAAAGGCUUUAUCAUUGUCAUUGUGGUGCUAGCAAAGCAUGAGUCUUAUUUUUGUUAAUUUCAUCUUUUGAAUACAGCAAUAGCAUUUCUUCAGCAAUGUGGGUGUUAUUUUCUCUUGUUAUAAUGUUUUAUGGAGGCUUGCUAAUUAUUAUAAUGAAUGCCUACCAUUCCAUGCCCCUCCGAACUGUAUUUGCCAAGCUGUCUAAUGUGUCAAGCAUCCAAGCUGUCUAUCCUCACUGUUUAGAGUGGAAUGUUAGAACAAUAUUCAUAUAGCCAACCACAAUUAACUGGGUUAAGGCUAAGAAGAAGUAGACAAUGAUGAUCUUGUAUUUCUAUCUUUUGUGUGUGUGUGUGUGUGUGUGUGUGUGUGUGUGUUUUUUUUUUGAUUGAUUUGUCUGAAAUGCAAGUAUAUGAUGUGCAAAGAUGUAGAGAGUGCAAAUGUAAUAGUGACUGCUGGACAUGAAGGACUAAGAUUUUGGGACAUACGUUCAUUGGAAUAAGCGAUGCUUGUUGGUUUGUUAAACACAUGAUAGCAAUCCACAUGUUUGUGAUGUAGGUUGAGGUAUUAUGUUUCUUUUCUUUUUCUCUCUUUUUUAUUUAAUAAUGCAAGUUUCUAUUUGGAUGUACCCUGAGGCCUGCAGAACACUUGCAAUAUUGAUUCAGGAGAUGGAUACUAAUCAUCAACUGCCCAUUGUUCGAGGCAUUGAGAGAAACAGGAAACAUUUCAUGUUCGCCUCUAUUUCGAGGUUCCUUUUUGGUAGGACUUGAAAAUUUAAAUGGAUGGAUAAUUAAGGUGGAAACAAAUGAAGCAUGCUCAGUUCCUCCAACCAAGGGACAUCCAAUAUGCUAGAAGAGGGUUUAAUCUAUGGCUUGAAUGAACUUAGUUAGCAUGGGAUGCUUAGAAGCAUGGAAUGAACUGUAAGGUCCUGAUUUGUUUUGCUGCUACUCAGCGGUUUGAGUAGUUUUGUUCUAUGAUUUAAGUGUUAAUCACAGUCAGUUUCAGAGCAAUAUUGGUAGCUGAUUUUUGUUUUGCUGCUACUCAGCGGUUAAUUGAUUAUAUAGCUUCAUGGUUGUUUGAGUAGUUUUGUUCUAUGAUUAACUCAUUUGAACAUUCUGGAUUUAUAGUUUUAAAGGUUAAUUGAUUUGUGAUGUGCAUUUGUUUAUUCAUGUUUAGGAAUGACUUUUUAUUGCAGAACAAAAAUACUAUUCAAAACUAGAUAGCGACAUGAACUUGUUGGGGUUAUGAUUCUAUAUGAUGACUUCAUGCUAUCAAUCUUUCUUUUGCCAUUGCCAACUUCGCAAUUGUUGAGUUUUCAUCAUUUUAUAUCGAGACUAAUACUCCAGUCAUUCAUAUCUGAGUUAGUAAUGUUCCAUCAGUUUCUGUUCUUCAUUGAAAUGCAAAUGUUUGUGUAAGAGAAACAAGAAGUUGUCAUUGAAAAGGUUGUUCGAAAUAAACACAAAUGUGUCACAAUUGUGAAAGGCCUUGAACUCUUUGGUAUUUGCACUUGACAUUCUUACCUCCUAUUGCACAUGGUAUCAUAAAGGCCGAGGCCCCUCACUUACAUUAAGGUUCUUCUAAAGACAUGAAAUGUGCUCGUUCUAAACGCACGACUAGGCUACCGAUAAGCCUUAUGACUGGUGGCAUCAAUCAGCCUUAGCUACCCGAGACUGAUGUGAGUCCCUCUCAGCCUUAGUUGCCCCAGCCUAUAGCGGGUCCCUCCCAGCAUCAGCCUUUCUCGGCUACAUUGGGUCCAGUCCAGUCUUUGUUGCCCGAGUCUACAGCGGGUCCUUCUCAUCCCCAGCUUCCCCCACCUAUGGCAGGUCUCUCCCAAAGUUUGCCUCAGGAUCCACACCAGACAGUUGAUUCAUUAGAGGAUACUUCUAGUGAUUUGUUGUUCACGAAGAGAAGGAGUCGAGGCCCCACACGAUGCCAUCAAGUUUGGAACAUGCAUGAAGGGCAAUGCAUUUUUAUUACCACCAACAAUCUAGGGCAACCCGUUAAUGAAAAUGUUAGCAAGCUGACAAACUUUUUGGGGACAAUAGCACGUAAUGGGGAUUACGCACCCCUUACAUAUUCUAAUUGGAGGGUAGUGCCAAACGAGAAGAAGGAUGAUAUGUACGAACUUGUCAUGUCCAAGUUUCAAUUUGACAAAGAGAUUAAAUCUUAGGUGUUGAUGUCAAUUGGAAAAAAAUGGAGGGACUGGAAGUGCGAACUGAAGAAAUUCCACUACUCGCCUCAUGAUAAUGAUGAGGCGCGGCUAGCAGACCUCAAUGAGCGUGUCCAAAUGGAUCAGUGGAAGGCCCUCAUUAAGUUUUGGAACUCUGAAGAGG